rnacentral:rRNA from 1 species
CCUACGGGAGGCAGCAGUAAGGAAUAUUGGUCAAUGGACGAAAGUCUGAACCAGCCAUGCCGCGUGAAGGAUGAAGGCCCUCUGGGUUGUAAACUUCUUUUAUCUGGGACGAAAAAAGGGAAUUCUUUCCCACUUGACGGUACCAGAGGAAUAAGCACCGGCUAACUCCGUGCCAGCAGCCGCGGUAAUACGGAGGGUGCAAGCGUUAUCCGGAUUUACUGGGUUUAAAGGGUGCGUAGGUGGGUAGGUAAGUCAGUGGUGAAAUCUCCGAGCUUAACUCGGAAACUGCCAUUGAUACUAUCUAUCUUGAAUAUCCUGGAGAUGAGCGGAAUAUGUCAUGUAGCGGUGAAAUGCUUAGAUAUGACAUAGAACACCAAUUGCGAAGGCAGCUCACUACGGGAUUAUUGACACUGAGGCACGAAAGCGUGGGGAUCAAACAGGAUUAGAUACCCUGGUAGUCCACGCCCUAAACGAUGGAUACUCGACAUACGACGAUACACUGUGUGUGUNUGAGACGAAGACGAUAAGUUAUCCACCGUCGGGAAGGUAACGGUAGUCGCGAAGAGUUAGUUAAACGUAACGAAAGGAAGUUAGACGGCGNGAGACGCGCCGACGGACGACGACGAGGGAGGAGG